ensembl:lncRNA
AUUUAUUAUUUUAUUCUUUUUGGCAUGUAUUUUCCCCUUCCUCCUCAGUUCCCCACUGCUGCCCAUAAAAUCCCAAAUCUUAUUCAAGGCCUAUCUCAAAUAGUCUUCCUCCUAAGAAGCCUGGUUUUGUUUUUUGUUUUAAUAUUAUUUCUUGUGAUCUCUUCUUACCUCAUACACUGUAUAUGCUUAACUCACAUUGUAUUGUGCUAUGUGUAUGCUGCAUAUGGCUAGGUCCUCUGGGACAGGGAUUGUGCCUUUUUCCUUUCAGUGUCACCUGUGGGACCAAGCACAGACCUAUAUGCAGUGGGCCCUAAAUAAACAUUUGCUGAAUUAAAAAUGUUAAGUAUUUCUGGUUUUCCCAGUCCUUUAUACAAUAAUUUGUGUCUGCUGAUGAUCCAAACCUCUUUGCUCACUUUCGAAGGCCUGCAAAAUCCCUCCAGAACAAAGCUCAGCCUGCGGCAUGACUCAGCAAUACAGGGUCUGCGUGCAUUCCCGGCUCUGGUAGCUUCUACAGAAUGGAAGGAAGUUUGUUUCAGCCACACCAGGGGGCAGUGUGACACACGUCUGCAUGGCCAUCAAGGCAGAAGAGAAAAUUUCUCCUGAAUAUUUUGUUCUCCUAGCACCCAGUUCCAAUAAGUUUGUGAAAGCUGGUGAGUAAAUGUAUCUAUUCUUUUAUAAUUCAGUUCCUAUGUCCAACUUUAUUUCCAGGGUUAGGGGAUUAUAUUGUGAAGUGAAUCCCAAGCACAAAAAGCAUUUCUUCGUGUGCAAUAUUUACACUAUCCAGUAAAUCAGAUAGUACUUGUAAUUCCUUUGAGAAUUUGUAGGAAAACCAUGAAAUUUCAGCUGAUGUCUGGCCUUGGAAACCUCAAAGGUUCAUUAUGGGAUGGUGAGUCUUGUGGCAAAUCCUUGUUCUCUCCUAGUCACCAAGAUUUCUCAUUGCCACCAAGCAAUGAUCUUAGCUAUAGGUGACUUGCCAAAAAAGCGACCCAUAGCUGUACAGCAAAAAUGAAUAAUUCAUAAUUAUUAUGAGGCUUCUUCAUUCAGAAGUUCAGAGCUGUGUGAGUUCUGCCAUGUAACAUAUUCAUGGAAGCAGCUAGGGUUGUGAAAAGCAAGGAGGGUCACGCAGUGAUUGAGACAAAUCAUCUCUUCUCAAAAUUUGUUUUCAGGACCACUUAAACUCUUAAAAAUUAUUGAAAAGUUAAAAAAGCUUUUGUUUAUUUGGGUUAUAUCUCUUUACAUUCACCAUAUUAGAAGUUAGAUCAGGAAAAUCUAAGUAUUGGGAAGCUUACAUUCACAUGGUGCAGGUUAUGAGUUUCCAAUAUUCUAAUUUAUAUUGAAAGGUUAGAGUUUGUAAUUGGCAACAAUUACUGUGUUCUUGGGGCGCCUGGGUGGCGCAGUCGGUUAAGUGUCCGACUUCAGCCAGGUCACGAUCUCGCGGUCCGUGAGUUCGAGCCCCAUGUCAGGCUCUGGGCUGAUGGCUCGGAGCCUGGAGCCUGUUUCCGAUUCUGUGUCUCCCUCUCUCUCUGCCCCUCCCCCGUUCAUGCUCUGUCUCUCUCUGUCCCAAAAAUAAAUAAACGUUGAAAAAAAAAAUUAAGAAAAAA